CGUAAACGAUGUCGAUUUGGAGGUUGUUCCCUUGAGGAGUGGCUUCCGAGCUAACGCGUUAAAUCGACGCUGGGGAGUACGGCCGCAAGGUUAAAACUCAAAUGAAUUGACGGGGGCCCGCACAAGCGGUGGAGCAUGUGGUUUAAUUCGAUGCAACGCGAAGAACCUUACCUACUCUUGACAUCCAGAGAAUUUAGCAGAGAUGCUUUAGUGCCUUCGGGAACUCUGAGACAGGUGCUGCAUGGCUGUCGUCAGCUCGUGUUGUGAAAUGUUGGGUUAAGUCCCGCAACGAGCGCAACCCUUAUCCUUUGUUGCCAGCACAUUAUGGUGGGAACUCAAAGGAGACUGCCGGUGAUAAACCGGAGGAAGGUGGGGAUGACGUCAAGUCAUCAUGGCCCUUACGAGUAGGGCUACACACGUGCUACAAUGGCGUAUACAAAGAGAAGCGACCUCGCGAGAGCAAGCGGAACUCAUAAAGUACGUCGUAGUCCGGAUUGGAGUCUGCAACUCGACUCCAUGAAGUCGGAAUCGCUAGUAAUCGUAGAUCAGAAUGCUACGGUGAAUACGUUCCCGGGCCUUGUACACACCGCCCGUCACACCAUGGGAGUGGGUUGCAAAAGAAGUAGGUAGCUUAACCUUCGGGAGGGCGCUUACCACUUUGUGAUUCAUGACUGGGGUGAAGUCGUAACAAGGUAACCA
rnacentral:rRNA from 1 species